AAAUUGAAGAGUUUGAUCAUGGCUCAGAUUGAACGCUGGCGGCAGGCCUAACACAUGCAAGUCGAGCGGAAACGAGUUAUCUGAACCUUCGGGGGACGAUAAUGGCGUCGAGCGGCGGACGGGUGAGUAAUGCCUAGGAAAUUGCCCUGAUGUGGGGGAUAACCAUUGGAAACGAUGGCUAAUACCGCAUGAUGCCUACGGGCCAAAGAGGGGGACCUUCGGGCCUCUCGCGUCAGGAUAUGCCUAGGUGGGAUUAGCUAGUUGGUGAGGUAAGGGCUCACCAAGGCGACGAUCCCUAGCUGGUCUGAGAGGAUGA
rnacentral:rRNA from 1 species